rnacentral:rRNA from 1 species
ACGCUGGCGGCGCGUCUUAACCAUGCAAGUCGAGCGGCAGGCAGCAAUGCCGAGAGCGGCGGACUGGUGAGUAACACGUGGAUAACGUACCCCGAUGCCCGGGACAGCCUGUAGAAAUAGAGGGUAAUACCGGAUAGAUCACUGUUUACGGAAGGUAGACAGCGGGAAAGGAGCUUCGGCUCCGCGACGGGAUCGGUCUGCGGCCCAUCAAGCUCGUUGGUGAGGUAAGAGCUCACCAAGGCGAGGACGGGUAUCCGGCCUGAGAGGGCGGACGGACACAUUGGGACUGAGAUACGGCCCAGACUCCUACGGGAGGCAGCAGGUAAGAAUAUUCCGCAAUGGGGGGAACCCUGACGGAGCGACGCCGCGUGAACGAAGAAGGCCGGAAGGUUGUAAAGUUCUUUUCUGUCCGAGGAAUAAGUGUAGGAGGAAAUGCCUGCAUGGUGACGGUAGGGCAGGAAUAAGCACCGGCUAAUUACGUGCCAGCAGCCGCGGUAACACGUAAGGUGCGAGCGUUGUUCGGAAUUAUUGGGCGUAAAGGGCAUGCAGGCGGGACGCCAAGCUUGGUAAGAAAUACCGGGGCUCAACUCCGGAGCUAUAUUGAGAACUGGCGAGCUAGAGUUGCCGAAGGGUAUCCGGAAUUCCGCGUGAAGGGGUGAAAUCUGUAGAUAUGCGGAAGAACACCGAUGGCGAAGGCAGGAUACCGGCGGACGACUGACGCUGAGGUGCGAAGGUGCGGGGAGCAAACAGGAUUAGAUACCCUGGUAGUCCGCACAGUCAACGAUGUACACUGGGCGUGUGCGCAAGAGCGUGCGUGCCGAAGCAAACGCGAUAAGUGUACCGCCUGGGGAGUAUGCCCGCAAGGGUGAAACUCAAAGGAAUUGACGGGGGCCCGCACAAGCGGUGGAGC